GUUAAACGGCCGCGGUAUUCUGACCGUGCUAAGGUAGCGUAAUCACUUGUCUUUUAAAUGAAGACCCGUAUGAACGGCAUCACGAGGGCUCGACUGUCUCCUCUCCCCAGUCAAUGAAAUUGAUCUGCCCGUGCAGAAGCGGACAUAAAAACAUAAGACGAGAAGACCCUAUGGAGCUUAAGACAAAAAGCCAAACAUGUUUAACGACCCACAAACCAACUAGGGAUAAAAAGUACCUAAACCAUAUGCCACCUGGCUAAAAUGUCUUCGGUUGGGGCGACCUCGGAGGAAAAACAAGCCUCCGCAUGGACUGGGGGCACACCCCUAAAACUAAGAUACACAGAUCUAAGUAACAAAAAUUUUGACCAAUAAUGACCCGGACCAAAUCCGAUCAACGAACCAAGUUACCCUAGGGAUAACAGCGCAAUCCCUUCCCAGAGUCCAUAUCGACGAAGGGGUUUACGACCUCGAUGUUGGAUCAGGACAUCCUAAUGGUGCAGCCGCUAUUAAGGGUUCGUUUGUUCAACGAUUAAAGUCCU
rnacentral:rRNA from 1 species